rnacentral:rRNA from 1 species
CCUUGUACACACCGCCCGUCACACCAUGGGAGCGGGUCCUGCCAGAAGUAGUUAGCCUAACCGCAAGGAGGGCGAUUACCACGGCAGGGUUCGUGACUGGGGUG